UACGGAGGGUGCAAGCGUUAUCCGGAUUUACUGGGUUUAAAGGGUGCGUAGGUGGGUCUGUAAGUCAGCGGUGAAAUCUCCGAGCUUAACUCGGAAACUGCCAUUGAUACUAUAGGUCUUGAAUUAUCUGGAGGUGAGCGGAAUAUGUCAUGUAGCGGUGAAAUGCUUAGAUAUGACAUAGAACACCAAUUGCGAAGGCAGCUCACUACGGAUUGAUUGACACUGAGGCACGAAAGCGUGGGGAGCAAACAGG
rnacentral:rRNA from 1 species